ACGGAAGGCAGCAGUGGGGAAUAUUGCACAAUGGGCGCAAGCCUGAUGCAGCGAUGCCGCGUGAGGGAAGAAGGUUUUCGGAUUGUAAACCUCUGUCAUCGGGGACGAUAAUGACUGUACCCGAGAAGGAAGCUCCGGCUAACUACGUGCCAGCAGCCGUGGUAAUACGUAGGGAGCGAGCGUUAUCCGGAAUUACUGGGUGUAAAGGGAGUGUAGGCGGGACUGUAAGUCAGAUGUGAAAUAUGCCGGCUCAACUGGCAGACUGCAUUUGAAACUGCGGUUCUUGAGUGAAGUAGAGGUAAAUGGAAUUCCCAGUGUAGCGGUGAAAUGCGUAGAUAUUGGGAGGAACACCAGUGGCGAAGGCGAUUUACUGGACGAUUACUGACGCUGAGACACGAAAGCGUGGGGAGCAAACAGGAUUAGAUACCCUGGUA
rnacentral:rRNA from 1 species